rnacentral:pre_miRNA from 1 species
AGGACACAGAAGGUGGAACGGAGGCAUCGCUAAUCGAGUAGUGACUUUUCUCCUUUUCACUUCGUGUGUGUAUG